rnacentral:rRNA from 1 species
GACGAACGCUGGCGGCGUGCCUAAUACAUGCAAGUAGAACGCACAGUUUAUACCGUAGCUUGCUACACCAUAGACUGUGAGUUGCGAACGGGUGAGUAACGCGUAGGUAACCUGCCUGGUAGCGGGGGAUAACUAUUGGAAACGAUAGCUAAUACCGCAUAAUAUUAAUUAUUGCAUGAUAAUUAAUUGAAAGGUGCAAUUGCACCACUACCAGAUGGACCUGCGUUGUAUUAGCUAGUAGGUGAGGUAACGGCUCACCUAGGCGACGAUACAUAGCCGACCUGAGAGGGUGAUCGGCCACACUGGGACUGAGACACGGCCCAGACUCCUACGGGAGGCAGCAGUAGGGAAUCUUCGGCAAUGGACGAAAGUCUGACCGAGCAACGCCGCGGGAGUGAAGAAGGUUUUCGGAUCGUAAAGCUCGGUUGUAAGAGAAGAACGGGUGUGAGAGUGGAAAGUUCACACUGUGACGGUAUCUUACCAGAAAGGGACGGCUAACUACGUG